UCGGGAAUCUUCCGCAAUGGGCGAAAGCCUGACGGAGCGACGCCGCGUGAGCGAUGAAGGCCUUCGGGUUGUAAAGCUCUGUGGGGAGGGAAGAAUAAGGGCAGGCGAAUACCCUGUUUGAUGACGGUACCUCCUUAGCAAGCACCGGCUAACUCUGUGCCAGCAGCCGCGGUAAGACAGAGGGUGCAAACGUUGUUCGGAUUUACUGGGCGUAAAGCGCGUGUAGGCGGCUUGGCAAGUCGGAUGUGAAAGCCCACGGCUCAACCGUGGAAGCGCAUCCGAAACUGCUUCGCUCGAGUCUCGGAGAGGAAGGUGGAAUGCUUGGUGUAGAGGUGAAAUUCGUAGAUAUCAAGCAGAACACCUGCGGCGAAGGCGGCCUUCUGGACGAUGACUGACGCUGAGACGCGAAAGCGUGGGGAGCAAACAGGAUUAGAUACCCUGGUAGUCCACGCCGUAAACGAUGAGUGC
rnacentral:rRNA from 1 species